UAUAAAAUGGGGAAAAGUAUCAGUUUAACACAGUACAAUCCCACAAUGAAGGCAGCGGUGUUUCUACUAUUGAUCCUCGCUUUAAUGGCAGGACAGGCCCUCUCUCAGCUUUUAAUUGAUCCCAAAAUUCGUGAGCGUAUCAGAAAUCAAAAAUAUUUGUGCCGUUAUCCCUUUCCUGCGGCUUGUGGCUAGCGGCAUAUUUUAAAAUAAAUGUGUGCAAUUGAGGCUACUCAUUGACAGAUUCGGGAAUACCUUAGUUUGUCAUCGAUGCUAGACGAUUGUGAAAGCAAUGUAGCUUACACUGUUUUCUUACACGAUUUCUUACAAUCUUUUCUAUCUAUUAAAUCAUCAACAGCAGAA